CAUCAAUAAAUAUAUAUACCCAGUCUGGCAAUUGCAAAGAGGCUGAGUUUUUGGGUGACAUCGUCAGUUGAGAAUGAAGCUGGAUCCUUCUACAGGAGUG